CAUGUCCUUUUGAGAGAAUUGAAGGUCUGGUCUGCUCCAUGAUUUUUUAAAUAGCUGCAGUAUCUUGACUGUACAAAGGUAGCAUAAUAAAUAGUCUUUUAAUUGGAGACUUGUAUGAAGGAUUUGACGAGAAAAUUUCUGUCUCAAUUUUGUUAAUUUUGAAUUUAACUUUUUAGUAAAAAGGCUAAAAUUUUUUUAAAAGACGAGAAGACCCUAUAGAGUUUUAUAAUUGAUAAUUUUUAUUUUAUUUAGAAUUAAUAAAAAUUAAAUUUUUAUGGAUUAUUUGGUUGGGGUGAUUGGAAAAUUGAAUAAACUUUUUUAAUUAAUUAAUUAUUUAUUUAUAAUUUUUUUAUCUUCUUUUUAAAUUUAAAAUAAAUUACCUUAGGGAUAACAGCGUAAUAUGAUUUUGAAGCUCUUAUUUGAAAUCUUGAUUGCGACCUCGAUGUUGGAUUAAAAUAAAUUGCUAGUGCAGAAGCUGGUUAAUUAAGUCUGUUCGACUUUUAAAAUUUUACAUGAUCUGAGU
rnacentral:rRNA from 1 species